rnacentral:rRNA from 1 species
CCUACGGGUGGCUGCAGUGGGGAAUAUUGGACAAUGGGGGCAACCCUGAUCCAGCCAUGCCGCGUGUGUGAAGAAGGCCCUCGGGUUGUAAAGCACUUUCAGUGAGGAAGAACGCCUGGUGGUUAAUACCCAUCAGGAAAGACAUCACUCACAGAAGAAGCACCGGCUAACUCCGUGCCAGCAGCCGCGGUAAUACGGAGGGUGCGAGCGUUAAUCGGAAUUACCGGGCGUAAAGCGCGCGUAGGUGGCUUGAUAAGCCGGUUGUGAAAGCCCCGGGCUCAACCUGGGAACGGCAUCCGGAACUGUCAAGCUAGAGUGCAGGAGAGGAAGGUAGAAUUCCCGGUGUAGCGGUGAAAUGCGUAGAGAUCGGGAGGAAUACCAGUGGCGAAGGCGGUCUUCUGGACUGACACUGACACUGAGGUGCGAAAGCGUGGGUAGCAAACAGGAUUAGAUACCCGUGUAGUC